UAAGAAGCUAUCUGUGAGGAGCAGACAGUUGGGGAGAGGUGUCUCUGUGAACAUAAAGGAGGAACAUAGCGUUGUUUUCUAAAUUCCUGCUAUGAGUGAGACCAUCCGGUAUUUUUCUUUUUCUUUCUGACUCACUUCGCUGAGCAUGAUCCGGGAAGGGAUAUGUAAAUGAGAACCAAAUACUACAAGUCCAAAGGUAUGGUCCUCACAAAGCCUCGACCACACAAGUCCACAGACAUGGGAUCUGCCUGCAGGAGCACCUUCACAGCUAAAGUGGCAAGCAAUAAAAUGUUAAAGAGGACUGCCUUCAGUUAAUCAGCAUGCUAAGUGUCAACCUUCUGUUCCAUGAAGUUCAAGUGCAAAAAUGGCUCCGUGUUGAUCCAAGGCAAGGAGAUAAGGAGACUUUUCACACACGGUUCUUGUAAGUGGGUGGAAUCCUGGAGGUGAAUGAAAACAGCUCCUGUCUUUGAACUCUCUGAGGUACACCAGUAUCCACCCAACAAAUUCCAUUAUUUUUUACUAAAACAAUAUGGCAAGAAAGGCCAGCAAAAGAACUUGAAGCCUCACACUUAGUGCCAUGGAGACAUUGUGAAUCUUAAGCACAGCCAUGAUGAAAGAGAAGAGAUUUCCCCUCCUCCCUGACACCAGCAGGAGCGGAUGAUAGAGAGAGGAGACAAUCACAUGGUGACAGACUAUGUUGCUGCAGUGACCAGGUAAAAGGGGCUGAGACCAACAUGGUGACUGUGUAGUCAUAUGUAGAGAAAAUGACAGAAAUAAAGAACAUUUUC